ACUCAAAGGAAUAGACGGGGACCCGCACAAGCGGUGGAGCAUGUGGUUUAAUUCGAGGCAACGCGAAGAACCUUACCAGGUCUUGACAUGCCGGUCGCGGAUCGCAGAGAUGCUUUCCUUCAGUUUGGCUGGACCGUGCACAGGUGCUGCAUGGCUGUCGUCAGCUCGUGUCGUGAGAUGUUGGGUUAAGUCCCGCAACGAGCGCAACCCUCGUCCUUAGUUGCCAUCAUUUAGUUGGGAACUCUAAGGAAACUGCCGGUGAUAAGCCGGAGGAAGGUGGGGAUGACGUCAAGUCUUCAUGGCCCUUACGACCUGGGCUACACACGUGCUACAAUGGCGGUGACAAUGAGCUGCUAACUCGCGAGAGUAUGCUAAUCUCUAAAAACCGUCUAAGUUCGGAUUGCAGGCUGCAACUCGCCUGCAUGAAGCUGGAAUCGCUAGUAAUCGUAGAUCAGCACGCUACGGUGAAUACGUUCCCGGGUCUUGUACACACCGCCCGU
rnacentral:rRNA from 1 species